AUACGGAGGGGGCUAGCGUUGUUCGGAAUUACUGGGCGUAAAGCGUACGUAGGCGGACUGAUCAGUUGGGGGUGAAAUCCCAGGGCUUAACCCUGGAACUGCCUUCAAUACUGUCAGUCUUGAGAUUGGAAGAGGUGAGUGGAAUUCCUAGUGUAGAGGUGAAAUUCAUAGAUAUUAGGAGGAACACCAGUGGCGAAGGCGGCUCACUGGUCCAAUACAGACGCUGAGGUACGAAAGCGUGGGGAGCAAACAGAAUUAGAAACCCCAGUAGUCC
rnacentral:rRNA from 1 species